rnacentral:rRNA from 1 species
UACAGAGGUCCCAAGCGUUACUGAGAAUCACUGGGUUUAAAGGGUGCGUAGGUGGUCCGUUAAGUCUGUUGUGAAAUCCCCGGGCUCAACCUGGGAAUGGCAAUGGAUACUGGCAAGCUAGAGUGUGAUAGAGGAUGGUGGAAUUCCCGGUGUAGCGGUGAAAUGCGUAGAGAUCGGGAGGAACAUCAGUGGCGAAGGCGGCCAUCUGGAUCAACACUGACGCUGAGGCACGAAAGCGUGGGGAGCAAACAGG